GGCCUGAUGGUCUAGGGGUAUGAUUCACCCUUAGGGAUUUCCACGUUAUCAUGGAAUCAUCUGGGUGAGGUCCCGGGUUCGAAUCCCGGUUAGGCCC